CUUGGGCUAAGAGCUUAUUCAAGGCAGGAAGGCAGCUUAUAAAUAUCCUAGCUCUAGGUAAAAUUUAAAAUUGGGAUUAUUUACUAUAUUUUAACUUCUAAGCCCUGGAAAUAAACAAGGAUUAGAUACCCUUCUAUACCAGGAGCCUUUGGAGCAGGGUAGUAACUAGCUAUGUUCUUCAAACCCAAAGGAUUUGGCGGUGUCCCAUCUAAUCAGAGGAAUCUGUUAGGUAAUCGAAACUACGCGUUAUAUCUCACCAUAACUAUGCUUGUAUACCGUCGUCUAGAUAGCUCUAAGAAGAUCUAUCAGAAGGAGCAGGAUAGGUAAGGCAGAUCAAGGUGCAGCUUGCUAUGGUCUUUAUGGAUUACAAUCCCCAUUAGGUUGAAUAAGAUUUGGUAGAGGUCUUUGAAAUAGGAUUUGACAGUAAUUUAAUUUUAAAAUGAUUAAAUAAAGCUGCAAUAGGACAUGUACAUAUCGCCCGUCACUCUCACCCCU
rnacentral:rRNA from 1 species